rnacentral:rRNA from 1 species
ACGGGGCCCGCACAAGCGGAGGAACAUGUGGUUAAUUCGAUGAUACGCGAGGAACCUUACCUGGGCUUAAAUGUAGAGUGCAUUUUUUAGAGAUAGAAAUUCCCUUCGGGGCUUUCUGCAAGGUGCUGCAUGGUUGUCGUCAGCUCGUGCCGUGAGGUGUCGGGUUAAGUCCCAUAACGAGCGCAACCCUUAUCGUUAGUUGCCAGCUGGUAAAGCAGGGGACUCUAGCGAAACUGCCACCGUAAGGUGAGAGGAAGUGGGGAUGACGUCAAAUCAGCACGGCCCUUAUGUCCAGGGCUACACACGUGUUACAAUGGCCGGCACAGAGGGCAGCUACCUGGUGACAGGAUGCUAAUCUCGAAAACCGGUCUCAGUUCGGAUCGAAGUCUGCAACUCGACUUCGUGAAGCUGGAUUCGCUAGUAAUCGCGCAUCAGCCAUGGCGCGGUGAAUACGUUCCCGGGCCUU